AUGCAAGUCGAGCGAACGGACGAGAAGCUUGCUUCUCUGAUGUUAGCGGCGGACGGGUGAGUAACACGUGGAUAACCUACCUAUAAGACUGGGAUAACUUCGGGAAACCGGAGCUAAUACCGGAUAAUAUUUUGAACCGCAUGGUUCAAAAGUGAAAGACGGUCUUGCUGUCACUUAUAGAUGGAUCCGCGCUGCAUUAGCUAGUUGGUAAGGUAACGGCUUACCAAGGCAACGAUGCAUAGCCGACCUGAGAGGGUGAUCGGCCACACUGGAACUGAGACACGGUCCAGACUCCUACGGGAGGCAGCAGUAGGGAAUCUUCCGCAAUGGGCGAAAGCCUGACGGAGCAACGCCGCGUGAGUGAUGAAGGUCUUCGGAUCGUAAAACUCUGUUAUUAGGGAAGAACAUAUGUGUAAGUAACUGUGCACAUCUUGACGGUACCUAAUCAGAAAGCCACGGCUAACUACGUGCCAGCAGCCGCGGUAAUACGUAGGUGGCAAGCGUUAUCCGGAAUUAUUGGGCGUAAAGCGCGCGUAGGCGGUUUUUUAAGUCUGAUGUGAAAGCCCACGGCUCAACCGUGGAGGGUCAUUGGAAACUGGAAAACUUGAGUGCAGAAGAGGAAAGUGGAAUUCCAUGUGUAGCGGUGAAAUGCGCAGAGAUAUGGAGGAACACCAGUGGCGAAGGCGACUUUCUGGUCUGUAACUGACGCUGAUGUGCGAAAGCGUGGGGAUCAAACAGGAUUAGAUACCCUGGUAGUCCACGCCGUAAACGAUGAGUGCUAAGUGUUAGGGGGUUUCCGCCCCUUAGUGCUGCAGCUAACGCAUUAAGCACUCCGCCUGGGGAGUACGACCGCAAGGUUGAAACUCAAAGGAAUUGACGGGGACCCGCACAAGCGGUGGAGCAUGUGGUUUAAUUCGAAGCAACGCGAAGAACCUUACCAAAUCUUGACAUCCUUUGACAACUCUAGAGAUAGAGCUUUCCCCUUCGGGGGACAAAGUGACAGGUGGUGCAUGGUUGUCGUCAGCUCGUGUCGUGAGAUGUUGGGUUAAGUCCCGCAACGAGCGCAACCCUUAAGCUUAGUUGCCAUCAUUAAGUUGGGCACUCUAAGUUGACUGCCGGUGACAAACCGGAGGAAGGUGGGGAUGACGUCAAAUCAUCAUGCCCCUUAUGAUUUGGGCUACACACGUGCUACAAUGGACAAUACAAAGGGCAGCGAAACCGCGAGGUCAAGCAAAUCCCAUAAAGUUGUUCUCAGUUCGGAUUGUAGUCUGCAACUCGACUACAUGAAGCUGGAAUCGCUAGUAAUCGUAGAUCAGCAUGCUACGGUGAAUACGUUCCCGGGUCUUGUACACACCGCCCGUCACACCACGAGAGUUUGUAACACCCGAAGCCGGUGGAGUAACCUUUUAGGAGCUAGC
rnacentral:rRNA from 1 species